GCCGAUGUGGCUCAGUGGUAGAGCAGCUGAUUCGUAAUCAGCAGGUCGUGGGUUCAAAUCCCAUCAUCGGCU
rnacentral:tRNA from 1 species